rnacentral:rRNA from 1 species
UACGGGGGGGGCAAGCGUUGUUCGGAAUUACUGGGCGUAAAGGCGCGUAGGCGGCCCGCUAAGUCGAACGUGAAAUCCCCGAGCUCAACUCGGGAACUGCGUCCGAUACUGGUGGGCUUGAAUCCGGGAGAGGGAUGCGGAAUUCCAGGUGUAGCGGUGAAAUGCGUAGAUAUCUGGAGGAACACCGGUGGCGAAGGCGGCAUCCUGGACCGGCAUUGACGCUGAGGCGCGAAAGCUAGGGGAGCAAACGGG